rnacentral:rRNA from 1 species
UACGUAGGGUGCGAGCGUUGUCCGGAAUUAUUGGGCGUAAAGCGCGCGCAGGUGGUUCCUUAAGUCUGAUGUGAAAGCCCACGGCUCAACCGUGGAGGGUCAUUGGAAACUGGGGAACUUGAGUGCAGAAGAGGAAAGUGGAAUUCCAAGUGUAGCGGUGAAAUGCGUAGAGAUCGGGAGGAACACCAAAGGCGAAAGCACUCUGCUGGGCCGCAACUGACACUGAGAGACGAAAGCGAGGGGAGCAAAUGGG